ACAUAAACUAAAUCAAUUUCCACAAGGCCUGUUAAUGUACUAUGAAUAUCACAACGAAUGCUUGAACAUCUUCACCCUUUUUCAUUUCAUGCUUUCAAACUGUUUCAGUUACAUCAAUAUGGGACUUGAAAUGUGUACCUGGAAAUGCUGAAAAUGCAAAGGAGAAGAAGAGGAAGAUGUGGAAAUCAGCAGCCAAAAGAAACAGGACUAGCAAAUAGCAGCAGGACAAGGCAACAGCAAACAAAGCGAACAGCAGAAAAAGGCUCAAGUGCAGAAAUGCAACUAUGGCCAAUAGAAAGAAAUGGCCAAAUGAGAGCAACACCCAGUGGAGUAGAAUCAGAACUCCAAAGCAGACCAAACCAGUAGUAAAUCAAUGGAAAACACUUGACUAAAUAGACACCACUGGAACUUCAAAGAAUCAGAAUCGAUUUCAACAAGUUGAACAACUGAAAACCCAAAUAACAAAAUAGGAAGAAACAAUUUCUGAUUGUUGGUCGUAUAGUUUCUAUCCCUUAACCUUUCUCUAUCUGUGUUUGUGUUUUUUCCUUUUCAGCUCUUCCCCUCUUUUUUUUUCUUUCUGUAUGUCUAUCCCCCUUUUUAUAAGCCUCUAUCCUACUCUUUUUAACAGCCUGUUUUCAGAAAUCACAGUACCCUUCCCAUGUGCCUUCCAUUUUCAAUUCCAACUUUAGCUAAUUAAGUAUUAAACCCUAUCAACAUUCCCUCGCAGAUUUCACUUUUAAAAGGUUUAAAUACUUCUUUAAACUAAAGCCAAGUAUGGGCAGUGGAAUGUAUCUGACAGCAUAUGCUGUCAAAUUGUUUAAAACUUAACAAAAGCCUUUAUGCAGGCCACAGGCUGUGCACAAAGCACAUGAGAUGCACCAAUGCACAUGAUGUGCAUGAGUGCAUAUGCCUUCCAAUUCAGAAUCUAAACACAAACAAUCCAACAGCUAUAAGUGAACUAAACGGGCUCUUAAUUGAUUCAGGCAAAUGUUCAAUAGAAGCAAAUCGAUUUAACUUUGUUCAGACAGUUGAAACUGAUUGACGACACAUGUCGACUCGACUAUAUUAGCAUUAACAUACACAAACGUAGCCAAAUCAGUCAUUCAAAAGCAUGGGACACAUGACUCGACUUAUACUGAUUAAGCAGGAUUAUACUUUGAGGAAUCAGUUAGUCAGUACAAAUUUGGAAUACAACCAAUACACAUGUCUUAUCAGAAUAAGAGGGGUUCAAACAAAACACAGUGGUUCAGGCAAAGUGGUCAAUCAGAAGGUGGUAAAAUUUAAAGACACAAAUUGAAACAAAACAUGACCAGAUAUUUAAAACAAAUCACACGGACUAAAACAAAUAAAGGAAAGAAAACAAAUUCACCUUAAAGCUUGCAAAGUUAAAAAUUUGAACUCGGACUUGGACAGACCUUUCUUAAGGCUGAACGGACUUUAAUCGAAGUGUUUCUCAGAUGAGAAACACUUCGAUUAAGGUCCAUUAGACCUUAAUCUCUUUGGCUCGGACUGGCAUGGGCCAGAGAUNNNNNNNNNNNNNNNNNNNNNNNNNUUAAGCUAACUGAUGCCUUGACAAAAGCAGGUUUUUUGCAAAGUGCCUAUGACCAUUUACUCUUCAUCAAGAAGAAAGGUGCAGAUGUGGUGGUUAUAUUGUUCUAUGUUGAUGACCUACUGAUCACAGGCAAUUGUGAAGCUAUUAUACACGCAACAAAAAAAACAUUGCAUUUGAACUUUAAAGUGAAGGAUCUAGGGGAGUUGAAAUACUUCCUAGGUAUUCACCAAAGGGAAUCCUUCUCAAUCAGAGGAAAUAUGCCCUUAGUCUAAUUUCUGAAGUUGGGCUGAGUGGGGCAAAACCUGCAAGUUCUCCACUUGAACAAAAUCAAAAGCUGACUACAGUAGACUAUGACAAGCAUGUAGGGGCUACAAGAGAUGAGGAAUUACAUGAUAUAGGUGGAUAUCAAAAGCUUAUAGGAAAGCUGAUAUAUCUGACCAUAACCAAACUAUACAUAUACUUUGUUGUUCAAAUGUUGAGUUAGUUUAUGCAACAUCCAAAACAGUCAUACCUAGAGGUAGUAUUGAGAGUUGUAAGAUAUAUUAAGGGGUGUCCAAGAAGAGGAGUAUUACUGAAAAAGGAACCUUUAGAACAAGUCACAACCUAUUGUGAUUCUGAACAGCCUGCCUAAACACAAGAAGAUCUGUUACAGGGUAUGUAGUGAAAAUGGGAGAUUCCUUGAUCUCAUGAAAAUCAAAAAAGCAACAGAUAUGAGCAGAAGUUCAGCAGAAGCUGAGUAUAAAAGCAUGACAAAUGUGGUAUCUGAAGUAGUUUGACUCACAAGGUUGAUGCAAGAGCUUGGGAUUGAAGUUCAAACACCUAUGAAGCUUCUUUGUGAUAGAAAAGAAGCUCUACAGAUUGUUGCCAAUCUAAUCUAUCAUGAAAGAACUAAACACAUAGAGAUAGACUGUCAUUUGUGAGGGAAAGAAUCAAAAGUGGACUGAUUGCACCAGAACACAUCUCAACAAAAGAGCAAGUUGCAGACAUGAUGACCAAAGCCUUAGGUACUGCACAAUACCAGAUUCUUGUGUCCAAGAUGGGAGUGUUGGAUGUUUUCCACCCUCCAGCUUGAUGGGGAACUUUGUGAUAAUAGAUACUACUUAAGAGUUAGGGACCAAAAUGUAAUUAGUGAAAGUUAGAAGACAAAUUGUAAUGAAGAAUAAGUUAGGAAGUUAGUAUGUUAAAAGGAUCAAUUAUUGAUCCAAUAGUGUUAACGAUCAUAAUGAAGAACAUCAUUUUCUCUCUCCCUUCUCUCUAGCUUUCUCUCUCUAUAAUUCACUGAAGAAUUAUCAAUCUUUAUAGCUUGAAUCCUAUAAAUUGACAAGAACACAUAAAUUUUAAGUUCUGUCUCAGCCUCUAAGAGGAAGGGGAGUGGGGAGGGUUAGGAAAGAAAGCACAAACGAAGCAUAGGCUUAAAGAUGAAGUUAGUUAUGCUCACAAGAAAAAGAAAGAAAAGAGAUUAAUUAGCAAUUAGUAUAUUAUACAGGAAAAAAAGGAACUAUAUUAUAUAUAGGAGAGUAGUUAUAUAAUAUAUUAUUUACCCUAACUCCUAGGCUAGCUAUGAAAAUUUGAAAAUAGAGUAGGCACUCCUGAAGUACUAUUUAAAAGCCCAAGUGAAUUGAGAACCCUAAUUAAAAUUAAAAACUCGUAGAUCUUCUAUUGAGAACACUAAUUAAUAUUUCUGUAAGAUCCUAAUGGCUUUAUGAAGGUAUUUAAACCAAGAUGUCUUAUCGAGUAGUAUUUUGUGCGAAAAUUAACCGAAUUGGAUGUUAUAUAUGUUUUUUUUCUUCUUCUUCUUGCUAGUACGGUAGUUACAAUAGAAACAAAUAACAGUGAGGGGCAAGUCACAUCAAGUUAUCUUCAUUUAAUUUAAUAGUAAAACUCAAGAUCCUUGUGUUGGCUAAGGUCACACCAAAGUUCGGAAAUUUCUACCUAUUUAUUUUGGCUAAAUACGUAAACGGCCCCUUUAAGUUGUCCAUAAUGACCAGACAAAUACCUUAACUAAACCCUUUACCAUUUAGAUACUUCAGUAUCCAUUAACCAGAUCAAAUAAACACAUAUUGCUGAUGUGGUAUGGGCGUGCUUGCUAAUAAAAUUUUAAGAGCGUGAAUCAUUUUUUCAGCCUAAAUUUUUUUUUUCGUUUUUGAAAAAACUUAAUCUUCACCGUGAAACCACCAUUAAAACCAGCCACUAAAACUGCAACCAAGCUACCGAAAAUCACCAGAAAUUACCCCUUUCAUAUUCCACUGUCCAUAACCUCCAGAGCUCCGCCUAAUUCCUUCAAGCCAAAACUAGUUCCAAAUGCUGAAAUUACAAAUGCUGCAGAACUAAUUGGAGAAAUCAUUAAGCCAAAUCUGAAAAUCUUUCUUUCAUUUUCUGAGCAACCAAAUAAAGCAAACCCCACAAAGCAGAACUAAAAAAAAAAGUAACAAAGAACCUAACCUGGAAAUUAUUUUUAAGCUAGUAGAGAUAUGAGACCGACACCAAGUUCCACAUUGAACAACAUGAGUUUGUUAAAAGAGAAAUGAAAAAAUAAAUAGGGCCAAUGAAAGAGGCCAAAUUUGGUUGGUACCAAGAAUUUGACUAAACCAAAGGAAAAGGACAAAAAAUUAUUGUGUUAGAUGUUUAGUGGGUUAUUUGAGAGGAUUGAUAAUGGCAAAACAGUAGAUGUGGUGAAGAAGAUGGGGACAACCGCGCAUCAAGGCGAGCGCGUCUUGGAAAUUAGAAAUUCAAAAGGUGGGAGAGAGGGUUUUAUGCUGGAUCGCAAAAACAUGACUUAUAUGUUGCUGAUUUUGGUUGAUUCUAGUAGAAUCAUUUCUUUCAGAUUUGCUCGAAGAUUAAUUUUCCGGCAAGAGAGGGGUUGCGUUGGUUUGAAGGAAGGUGGAUUUGAAGGAAGAAGAUGAAGGGGGUGGGGUAGCGCUGGUUUUAGGUGGAAGAAGGAGAUGAUGUUGGUUUGAGGAGGGGGGGGGGGAUGGCACUGGUUUUGGGCGGAAGAAGAAGAUGAAGUUGGUUGGGGGACGGGGGUUGAGGAGGAUGGGUUGCGCUGGUUUGGUAAAAAAGGUAGGAAAAAGUUUUUUUUUAUUUCUUAAAUGCAUUUUCAUUUUUUGUUUAUUAUAUGUGUCAAAUUUUUAUUUACAAAUUACACGUGUUGUUCAUUAAUUGGCUCAUUUGAUAUGGCAUUAGCGAGUGUAAUUCAGUAUAUGAUCUGUUGCACUCGGAUAUUUAUUUGAUCUGGU
rnacentral:lncRNA from 1 species